rnacentral:rRNA from 1 species
GUGGGGAAUAUUGGGCAAUGGGCGCAAGCCUGACCCAGCAACGCCGCGUGAAGGAAGAAGGCUUUCGGGUUGUAAACUUCUUUUGUCGGGGACGAAACAAAUGACGGUACCCGACGAAUAAGCCACGGCUAACUACGUGCCAGCAGCCGCGGUAAUACGUAGGUGGCAAGCGUUAUCCGGAUUUACUGGGUGUAAAGGGCGUGUAGGCGGGAUUGCAAGUCAGAUGUGAAAACUGGGGGCUCAACCUCCAGCCUGCAUUUGAAACUGUAGUUCUUGAGUGCUGGAGAGGCAAUCGGAAUUCCGUGUGUAGCGGUGAAAUGCGUAGAUAUACGGAGGAACACCAGUGGCGAAGGCGGAUUGCUGGACAGUAACUGACGCUGAGGCGCGAAAGCGUGGGGAGCAAACAGG